UGGCUUAUAGCUCAGCUGGUUAGAGCGCACGCCUGAUAAGCGUGAGGUCGGUGGUUCGAGACCACUUAAGCCCA
rnacentral:tRNA from 1 species